UGAGAUAGCUAGACAGUCGCAUUAUUUUUACUUAAAUAAUGAGGAAAGUCCGGGCUCCAUAGGGUAGAAUGCCAGGUAAUACCUGGGAGGCGUGAGCCUACGGAAAGUGCCACAGAAAAUAAACCGCCAAUAGGUAAGGGUGAAAAGGUGUGGUAAGAGCACACCGCGCAGAUGGUAACAUACUGCGGCAAGGUAAACCCCAUUCGGAGCAAAGCCAAAUAGAGGAGCGAUAAUGUGACCCGCAUUGUUCCUGGGUAGGCUGCUUGAGGUAUAUGGUGACAUAUAUCCUAGAUGAAUGGCUGUCCACGACAGAACCCGGCUUAUCGGCUAUCUCAAUUU
rnacentral:RNase_P_RNA from 1 species